AACGAACGCUGGCGGCAUGCCUAACACAUGCAAGUCGAACGAAGGCUUCGGCCUUAGUGGCGCACGGGUGCGUAACGCGUGGGAAUCUGCCCCUCGGUUCGGAAUAACAGUUAGAAAUGACUGCUAAUACCGGAUGAUGACUUCGGUCCAAAGAUUUGUCGCCGAGGGAUGAGCCCGCGUAAGAUUAGGUAGUUGGUGGGGUAAAGGCCUACCAAGCCGACGAUCUUUAGCUGGUCUGAGAGGAUGAUCAGCCACACUGGGACUGAGACACGGCCCAGACUCCUACGGGGGGCAGCAGUGGGGAAUAUUGGACAAUGGGCGAAAGCCUGAUCCAGCAAUGCCGCGUGAGUGAUGAAGGCCUUAGGGUUGUAAAGCUCUUUUACCAGGGAUGAUAAUGACAGUACCUGGAGAAUAAGCUCCGGCUAACUCCGUGCCAGCAGCCGCCGUAACAC
rnacentral:rRNA from 1 species